UGUUCUUUAUGUUUAGAUUUUGAGAAAGAAA
rnacentral:piRNA from 1 species